rnacentral:rRNA from 1 species
UACGUAGGGGGCAAGCGUUAUCCGGAUUUACUGGGUGUAAAGGGAGCGCAGACGGCAGUGCAAGUCUGGAGUGAAAGCCCGGGGCCCAACCCCGGGACUGCUCUGGAAACUGUACGGCUAGAGUACGGGAGGGGCAGGCGGAAUCCCUAGUGUAGCGGUGAAAUGCGUAGAUAUUAGGAGGAACACCGGCGGCGAAGGCGGCCUGCUGGACCGAAACUGACGUUGAGGCUCGAAAGCGUGGGGAGCAAACAGG